GAUGAAGAACGCAGCGAAAUGCGAUACGUAAUGUGAAUUGCAGAAUUCAGUGAAUCAUCGAGUCUUUGAACGCACAUUGCGCCCCCUGGUAUUCCGGGGGGCAUGCCUGUCCGAGCGUCAUUGCUGCCCUCAAGCACGGCUUGUGUGUUGGGCCUCCGUCCUCCUCCCGGGGGACGGGCCCGAAAGGCAGCGGCGGCACCGCGUCCGGUCCUCGAGCGUAUGGGGCUUCGUCACCCGCUCUUGUAGGCCCGGCCGGCGCUUGCCGACACAUCAAUCUUUUUUCCAGGUUGACCUCGGAUCAGGUAGGGAUACCCGCUUAACUUAAGCAUAUCAAUAAGCGGAGGA
rnacentral:misc_RNA from 1 species